UCAUUCCUAUAGUUUUAUAGGUUUAUAAUAUAAUAUAUUAUAAAAAUUAAAAAGAUAUAUGAAAUGCAUCACUUAAGUACGUAGACAACAUAUGGAAUUUGCAGAUUUAAACAAAAUGUAACAUGGAAAGCGACUUGCCGAAACUGUACUUAGUUUUAGACUAAAAAUUAAUCAAUCACUUUACAAAAAAAUAAUGGAAAUGUCAGAAGUGUUAAAAUGAAUGUAUUACUCUUAAAGAGGACUAUGCUGCUGAACAAACCCGUAUUCUGCUAAGAAAUUGUUUAAUUGUCAUUCUACUAAUUGUCAUACAAAUUAUUGAGACACAACUUAUAAAAUUUUACGAAGAUAUCUAUAUUUUGUGUUGAAAGUAUCCAGAAUUAACACUGAAUCGUGGACGUCCAAAAAGUACAUGGAGAAGAUCGAUGAAAAGGAAAACUAACAAAUUAUUCAGCGAGCUUAGAGCAUUAGCGCGUUAUAGGGGUGUCUGGAAAGCAUAUUAUAGAUCACAUUUUUUGCCCGCACUGAUACGAGUAAUUUACUUUGAAUGCUCGAUAUGUGCGAUACAUAUACAUCUAUAUGGUAAAUUAAACAACAACACUUCCCUCAAUAAGUGUUUUUAAAUGAAAAGGAAUAAAUCAAACCACACUGUUUUCGUUAUCAUUUAGAAAAUUGGAAAAUGCAUAACGGAUAAAAGUAGGCGUGCUAACAUAAUUUGAAGCAAUUCUUGAAAUUUUGACACACCAGCUGUUAAGCUUUACAAAAGCUACGAUGAGGCCAGUCGAAUUAAAUCCAACCGUCUGGUCGAAAGGCACAAAACAAAUUACGACGUCAACAUCUCCUCCACGACACCAAUGAAAAAAUAACAAAUAAAAAAACAAACAUCAGCAGAAAAAAAACACGUUGUUUGCGAUAUGAAAAAUGAAGAGACACUCAGAGUGCUAAUGUUGUUGCUAUUUUCUUUGAUUCUGAUGGUUAUUCGAUUUUGUAUUAUUUUCCAAACCAUAUCUUUACAAUAAUUUAAUAAAACUACCACAUACCACAUGGGAGCCAAUAAUAAAACGAAGAGCAUUAUGAACUGAACUAUACACUAAUUGAUGAGCAGAGAUGGUGAGAGUAAAAUGUUAUAAAAUAAGUGAAGCAUGCAAAAGAAACAGUUAAAUACAUUGCUUAAAAAUCUGAAAAUACAUAUCUCAUAUAUAAAAGUUUCAGUUAAAUAAAAACGUUAAGAAUUAAUUAGAACAA